rnacentral:rRNA from 1 species
GACGAACGCUGGCGGCGUGCUCAACACAUGCAAGUCGAACGAUGAAGCUAGAGCUUGCUCUGGUGAAUUAGUGGCGAACGGGUGAGUAACACGUGAGUAACCUGCCCCGAACUCUGGAAUAACUGCUGGAAACGGUAGCUAAUACUGGAUACGACCUACGAAGGCAUCUUCUGUAGGUGGAAAGAAUUUCGGUUCGGGAUGGACUCGCGGCCUAUCAGCUUGUUGGUGAGGUAAUGGCUCACCAAGGCGACGACGGGUAGCCGGCCUGAGAGGGUGACCGGCCACACUGGGACUGAGACACGGCCCAGACUCCUACGGGAGGCAGCAGUGGGGAAUAUUGCACAAUGGGCGCAAGCCUGAUGCAGCAACGCCGCGUGAGGGAUGACGGCCUUCGGGUUGUAAACCUCUUUUAGUAGGGAAGAAGCGAAAGUGACGGUACCUGCAGAAAAAGCACCGGCUAACUACGUGCCAGCCGCCGCGGUAA